CCUACGGGGCGCUGCAGUGAGGAAUAUUGGUCAAUGGGCGAGAGCCUGAACCAGCCAAGUCGCGUGAGGGAGUACUGCCCUAUGGGUUGUAAACCUCUUUUGUCGGGGAGCAAAAGCCGGACGUGUCCGGCUGUGAGAGUACCCGAAGAAAAAGCAUCGGCUAACUCCGUGCCAGCAGCCGCGGUAAUACGGAGGAUGCGAGCGUUAUCCGGAUUUAUUGGGUUUAAAGGGUGCGCAGGCGGAUUUUUAAGUCAGCGGUAAAAUCGUGGGGCUCAACCCCAUCCAGCCGUUGAAACUGGGGAUCUAGAGUGUGCGAGAGGUAUGCGGAAUGCGUGGUGUAGCGGUGAAAUGCAUAGAUAUCACGCAGAACCCCGAUUGCGAAGGCAGCAUACCGGUGCACAACUGACGCUCAGGCACGAAAGCGUGGGUAUCGAACAGGAUUAGAUACCCUUGUAGUC
rnacentral:rRNA from 1 species